AAAAAAUUAGUUAAUUUAUAAUAUUAAAAUGUCAUUUUAAAGUUAUUAUUAAAAAUAAUAUUUUUUA
rnacentral:tRNA from 1 species